rnacentral:rRNA from 1 species
UCCAGCGGGUGCAAGCGUUAAUCGGAAUUACUGGGCGUACAGCGUGCGUAGACGGUUGCGUAAGUCAGAUGUGAAAGCCCCGGGCUCAACCUGGGAAUUGCAUUUGAGACUGCGUAGCUAGGGUGCGGAAGAGGGAAGCGGAAUUUCCGGUGUAGCGGUGAAAUGCGUAGAUAUCGGAAGGAACACCAGUGGCGAAAGCGGCUUCCUGGUCCAGCACCGACGUUCAGGCACGAAAGCGUGGGGAGCAAACAGG